AGUUGCGAUCAUACCAGCACUAAUGCACCGGAUCACAUCAGAACUCCGCAGUUAAGCGAGCUUGGGCGAGAGUAGUACUAGGAUGGGUGACCCCCUGGGAAGUCCUCGUGUUGCAACCC
rnacentral:rRNA from 1 species